rnacentral:lncRNA from 1 species
GGCCUCACCUCACUUGAGAAGGACAAAGAACAGGGUGGAGAGAGAGAAUAAUAUUUUCUAUUCCUUCUUAUCCAAUAAUAGUGCUACCAUGUCGGUAUUUGUUACUAUCUGCUUUCUUAUCAUUAUCCAUAAGGGCAGUUUCAGUGGGGUUUCACUAGGAUGUCAUACACAUUUAUUAGAGCGCCAUGUCAGUAAAAGUACACUUUUUGCAUGAAACGAAGAGGAGAGAGAAGGAAGUAGUUUCAACAUGGUGAAACCCUGCGGACGUUGUUUUCCCACGCGGUGAAACGGGAUGAAAUCCCCACUGAGGGCUAAAUCGUUUCACCAUCUUGCAUGUGAUCCAAUCAUUUUGCACUAAUUAAAUGUUUUGACUAGGCUAGGAAACGUCAAGGUGAAACUCAUGCAUUGUGGAGGUUGUUUCAUUAUUCGUUUCAUUGAUACCCUGUCAGCGGAUUUAUUUUGGAAACAGUAGAUUAAAACAGGCCACUAAGAGUGGCCUAAUGUAUCUUAUCGGCACAAGAGAAUCUCAUUAUCUCAACGUGUGGCGACCAUGCUCUAAACACCUCUGCUCGGAGGCACCGUUAGAUGAAGGUCGGAGCUAGCUUAGGCCCAAUAUAUUCAUGUAGUAGUUGUAGACGUAUAAUAUGAUAUCAUGCACCAUGUUUCUUUUUCUUUUUCACCAUUUUUUUCCUCUUUUUUUUUUUCACAUUUUCUCUUCUUCCAAUUUAAUUGAAUCUUACGACCACGAAUCCACCAAAAGUGACAAUGAGAAGUUGCGCGCAUAAGUUGUGAACAUAAUUUUGUAAUUUUCUAAAAAUAGAAAGUUAUGAAAAUAUUUUUUUUCAAAAAAAAAAGAAAUAUCAAAAAAAUUAUGAUUAUAAAUUAUGUUGAUAAGUUGUUCCGUAAAAAGUUGUGCAUAUGACUUUAUAACGUCAAAAAAUGAAAAAAAUAAGUUUUUUCAAAAAGAGAAAAAUAAAAUAAAAGUUAUGAUGAAAAGUUAUGGUGAUAAAUUAUCACAUAAAAAGUUAUGCACAUCUCAUCAACUCCCAAAUAUAGUAGUCUCAAAUUAAUAAAAGGCAUUCAGACUUGCAAUUCAUGCAGCAGCAAGUUUCUAUUCCUCAUUUGUUUCAUUGUCAUCCACAAUAUCAACCGGUGGCUCAUCGAGACCAAAAGACACAACUUGGAGUUUAGGUUCAUCAAGGGAUAGAUCAGCCACUUCAAGAAUCCCAACACCACCAAGUGAAUCAAAAUAAUCCCUGCCUACAUUCCACAUUCCUUGUCUCUCCUGUCUUGUAUGCAUCACUUCUUCUUGACAGAUGUCUUAGAUUUGAGUGCACAAAGACCAAAUCUUCCGCACGCUAUGGAGUUAAGGCAUUUCUCUUGACACUAUGGACAAAAGCUAUAGGUGCUCCAGUUUCUUUCAUAGCAAGAAGAUGAGGCUAGCUGCCUAAGCAAUUUCAUGGCCAAACGCAUCAGUAAGGGAGCAGAUUAUCCAUGAUUUGUCCACCAAGUCAUAGGGAAAACAACCCAUCUUCCAUGGAUUGAGUUAGGAUCACUAAAUUCUUCAAAAACAACUAGAGAACAUUGAGUACUCUUCUUUUACUUUAGCCAAUUCUUCUGGCAUAGGAAAAAACUUCUUAAAACAAACCAUCCUCAUUUUUGGUACCUCUUUAUCCUUGUGGGGUGGUUCACAGCCAGGACCUUCUUCAAGCUACUUUUUGCUAUAAUAUCUGCAAUUAGCAAUUUUGCAUUAUGAUUUUAGUGAAUAAAAAAUAUGUACAGACCAUUUAAGUGAAUGAAAAGAAUCUAAAUGGCAAUUUAUACUUCGGAUUAAGUGAAUGAGCUAAACAAUGAAGUGAGUUAUUUUCGUUUGUCCACCUAGCAAUCAAUAUCCAUCAAUAUGUAAUAAAUAACCGAGUACAAGUCUGACUCCUCAUCUUCUUGCUUGCCCUCGAUAUAUGACUUUCUUUCCUAACCUAUUUGUACAGUUAUUUUAUAUAUGACUUUCUUUCCUAACCUAUUUGUACAAUUAUUUUUUAGAACCGCCAGUGCUAGGGGUCAGUGAAGAUGAAUCUUUCAAAAUGAAAUCAGCC